rnacentral:rRNA from 1 species
UACGUAGGGUGCGAGCGUUAAUCGGAAUUACUGGGCGUAAAGCGUGCGCAGGCGGUUUGUUAAGUCAGGGGUGAAAUCCCCGGGCUUAACCUGGGAAUGGCGCUUGUAACUGGCAAGCUAGAGUGUGUCAGAGGGAGGUAGAAUUCCACGUGUAGCAGUGAAAUGCGUAGAGAUGUGGAGGAAUACCGAUGGCGAAGGCAGCCUCCUGGGAUAUAACUGACGCUCAUGCACGAAAGCGUGGGGAGCAAACAGG